rnacentral:lncRNA from 1 species
GUGGCUAAUCAUACUUUUGAAGAGAGAGCAGUGGAGAGAGGCCAUGCAUGUAUGUUCUUCCUUUAUAUUCUUUGUAAGAUAAGUAAGUAGAUUCAACAUUAUGUAUGUCUUUAAUGUCUUCAUUUCUAUAUAUUCUGAUUUAAGGUUUUGGGUGAAAGUUGUGUGGUUUCGAUAUUGCCUUGUAUAUAUUUGAUGGAUCAUAUUUUAUUUUAAGAUAAAUGAGGAGUCUGAAAUAUUCAAUCUGCAAUGUCACCCGUAUGCAUCUUCAACUCCUUGCAUUUCUCAAAUAUAAUAGAUUAAUCUAAAUCAUGAUCAACGCCUAGUUUUGUACUUUUAUGCUUAAUAAUGUCAAUUUUUAUGGUUUUGGCUUUUUAUUUUACAUCUCUAAUCUAUCCAACUUUUAUUUACUUUUUCUAUUAGAUGUGUGGUAGUAAAAUAUAGUUGCAUUCAAGAGACAUUAAUGCAUCAAAGUUGUUGGACGUGCAGGUCAUGAAUUAUUAUUUGAUUCGUUCAGAAGAAUAAAGUAUAGUUAAAGCCAAAAAUUUAACAGUAAUUCAGAUUAUGAAAUAUUUUAGGGAAACCUUAGUAACUGAAGGCAAGUUUAGUGGGCUUUAGUUGAUCGGCCACUCAGUAAUUUUGCAGAGCUGAAGGGGAAAAAAUCUGAUGUAUAACUUGGGCUGAUGACUGAGAGGGUCCACUUGAGAUAAGUAAGGUGACCCUCUUGAAUCUGUUAUAAUGAAGGAUAUCGAAUUUGGGUUUGAUUCUGUGGAUUCAUUCCAUUCUUUUAGGAGGUAAAUUUAUCCAAUCAAAGUUAUAUUUAUAUAUAUUGGUUGGACGCAAUUAGCUAAACAAAUCAAAAUGAGUUUAAAUUGUGGUUCGCAAGUAUGUUUAAGUUAUUAAUCUCUCUUUUUCAUAGAUAUGAAAGAAGAGUGGGACCAAUGUAAAACAGAAGGGCAUGGGCUUGGGCCGAGCAUGAGAAAAAGGAUGAUUAAAAGGUGAAUAAUCGCAGUGUGGCAAGUAGCUAUAGAUUGUGACAUAUCAUAUUCCUUCUUUUUUAUUCUUAACUUUAGGAGGAUUAUACCCUUCAAUGGUGGCAAUCGGCAACUUCAAAACAUUGAAUGAAAAGGAAUGUAAAACGUAUCAAACUAAGUGCAUAUGUAUCUGUCAAGAUCCGUUUUAUGCGUCUAUUCUAUUCUAGAGUUAUGUUGCUCUGAUACCCAAUACAAUACAUGUAAGUUUUUUUGAAAUCAUAUCCAUUUAAACUGAAUUUUCCUAUGGAACCAGAAACGUAUUAGAAACUGGCACUUAUUUUAGACAUGAAUACAAGGAUGACACCUACAUACCAGGAACAAUACAUAACGAAUAUCUGUAUCUAUUCUUGUAAAACUUUCAACUAUAUGACAAUGUGGUUUUGUUCCUAAAUGCAGUUGGGAUUAGCUUUAAGGCACUUCAAUUCGUAGCUGUGCAUUUUGAAAAUGAGAAACCCCACAUCCAGAUGGUAGCAGGUAAAAACAGUUUGCGAUGGUUAAACUAUCAACUUAAAUCUAUUUCAUGAAACCAGGCAAACACAAAAAGAGUAUACAUCUUUUCAAAAACCCAGAAAGAAAUCAGUAAAAAGAAGCCAAAUUUAACAAACAAACACCUCAAUUAACAGCAUCACACCUACGCCUAAUCUCUCCUCUUCUCCCAGUUUUGAUCCUAUAAACACUAAGCUUCUGCAUAGCUCUAGCAAAAUCUCGAAAGAACUUGUUUUGAUCCUUUGCAUACAGUUCCACAAAAGGCUUUGUUCUAGGAUCAUUAUACAACCCAUGAUCUGAUUCCAAUAGCCCUAAACCCUUUGGUAGAUUCUGAUAAUACAAGUUGUCAAACUUGUUGGGACUCAUUAUAUCGUUGAAAACAGACAAAGUCGGGUUCUUUGGGUAACCUGAACAAGCUUGUUUCAAUGCUUGAGCAAACCUUGGAUUGUAAUGGGUAUUGUUCCCAAGAUUAGAGCUGAACUCUUUGCAAUGUGAAAACCCAAUUGUGUGUGCCCCACUUAAGGCCACCAUUUCUUGAACAUUGAACCCACUUGCCGCAAAAAGGUUGAUUAUCUGUGACAUGCUCAUGGUGGGUUUUGGUAGUUUCCCUUCUAUUGAAGAAGCUUGAGAAGAUCUCGAAUCUUUCCGACCCAAAAAUACUUUAUAGUAGGGGCCGCCGAGCAUGGUCAC